rnacentral:rRNA from 1 species
UAGCAAUAUGUGGCAUACGGCUCAGUAACACGUAGUCAACAUGCCCAGGGGACGUGGAUAACCUCGGGAAACUGAGGAUAAACCGCGAUAAGUCACUACUUCUGGAAUGGGUAAUGACUUAAAUCUAUAUGGCCCCUGGAUUGGACUGCGGCCGAUCAGGCUGUUGGUGAGGUAAUGGCCCACCAAACCUGUAACCGGUACGGGCUCUGAGAGGAGGAGCCCGGAGAUGGGCACUGAGACAAGGGCCCAGGCCCUAUGGGGCGCAGCAGGCGCGAAACCUCUGCAAUAGGCGAAAGCCUGACAGGGUUACUCUGAGUGAUUUCCGUUAAGGAGAUCUUUUGGCACCUCUAAAAAUGGUGCAGAAUAAGGGGUGGGCAAGUCUGGUGUCAGCCGCCGCGGUAAUACCAGCACCCCGAGUGGUCGGGACGUUUAUUGGGCCUAAAGCAUCCGUAGCCGGUUCUGCAAGUCUUCCGUUAAAUCCACCUGCUUAACAGAUGGGCUGCGGAAGAUACUAUAGAGCUAGGAGGCGGGAGAGGCAAGCGGUACUCGAUGGGUAGGGGUAAAAUCCGUUGAUCCAUUGAAGACCACCAGUGGCGAAGGCGGCUUGCCAGAACGCGCUCGACGGUGAGGGAUGAAAGCUGGGGGAGCAAACCGGAUUAGAUACCCGGGUAGUCCCAGCUGUAAACGAUGCAGACUCGGUGAUGAAUUGGCUUCAUGCCA